UACGUAGGGUGCGAGCGUUGUCCGGAAUUACUGGGCGUAAAGGGUGCGUAGGCGGUUGUUUAAGUCUGUCGUGAAAUCCCCGGGCUCAACCUGGGAAUGGCGAUGGAUACUGGCGAGCUAGAGUGUGUCAGAGGAUGGUGGAAUUCCCGGUGUAGCGGUGAAAUGCGUAGAGAUCGGGAGGAACAUCAGUGGCGAAGGCGGCCAUCUGGGACAAAACUGACGCUGAAGCACGAAAGCGUGGGGAGCAAACAGG
rnacentral:rRNA from 1 species